UCCCUGGUGGCCCAGUGGCUAAGACUCCACACUCCCAAUGCAGGAGGUCUGGGUUCAAUUCCUGGUCAGGGAA
rnacentral:tRNA from 1 species